AUGUACAUUCCUACAACAUAGAGUUAAUGCACUGGAUCCCAUUAGAACUCCGCAGUUAAGCGUGCUCAGGCUAUAGUAGUACUGGGAUGGGUGAUCGCUCGAAAGUUCUAGUGUUUUACGUG
rfam:Picea glauca, whole genome shotgun sequence.